CGGAUUAGCUAGUUGGUGAGGUAAAGGCUUACCCAAGGCAACGAUCCGUAGCUGGUCUGAGAGGAUGAUCAGCCACAUCGGGACUGAGACACGGCCCGAACUCCUACGGGAGGCAGCAGUGGGGAAUAUUGGACAAUGGGGGCAACCCUGAUCCAGCCAUGCCGCGUGUGUGAAGAAGGCCCUCGGGUUGUAAAGCACUUUCAGCGAGGAAGAACGCCUAGCGGUUAAUACCCGUUAGGAAAGACAUCACUCGCAGAAGAAGCACCGGCUAACUCCGUGCCAGCAGCCGCGGUAAUACGGAGGGUGCAAGCGUUAAUCGGAAUUACUGGGCGUAAAGCGCGCGUAGGUGGCUUGAUAAGCCGGUUGUGAAAGCCCCGGGCUCAACCUGGGAACGGCAUCCGGAACUGUCAGGCUAGAGUGCAGGAGAGGAAGGUAGAAUUCCCGGUGUAGCGGUGAAAUGCGUAGAGAUCGGGAGGAAUACCAGUGGCGAAGGCGGCCUUCUGGACUGACACUGACACUGAGGUGCGAAAGCGUGGGUAGCAAACAGGAUUAGAUACCCUGGUAGUCCACGCCGUAAACGAUGUCGACCAGCCGUUGGGUGCCUAGAGCACUUUGUGGCGAAGUUAACGCGAUAAGUCGACCGCCUGGGGAGUACGGCCGCAAGGUUAAAACUCAAAUGAAUUGACGGGGGCCCGCUCAAGCGGUGGAGCAUGUGGUUUAAUUCGAUGCAACGCGAAGAACCUUACCUACCCUUGACAUCUACAGAAGCCGGAAGAGAUUCUGGUGUGCCUUCGGGAACUGUAAGACAGGUGCUGCAUGGCUGUCGUCAGCUCGUGUUGUGAAAUGUUGGGUUAAGUCCCGUAACGAGCGCAACCCUUGUCCUUAUUUGCCAGCACGUAAUGGUGGGAACUCUAAGGAGACUGCCGGUGACAAACCGGAGGAAGGUGGGGACGACGUCAAGUCAUCAUGGCCCUUACGGGUAGGGCUACACACGUGCUACAAUGGCCGGUACAAAGGGCUGCGAGCUCGCGAGAGUCAGCGAAUCCCUUAAAGCCGGUCUCAGUUAGUAUCGGAGUGUGCAA
rnacentral:rRNA from 1 species